rnacentral:piRNA from 1 species
UNGUAAGAGAUCAAGGUAGCUGGAGACC